GAGCCGCCUCUUCUUCUCUCCUCCUCUCCCCCUCCCUCUCCUGCCCCUCCUUCUUUUUCCCAGCCUCUCCCCCUCCCUCUUCCCUGUCUCUCCUCUCCCAAACCUUUCUUUCCCUUUCUGUCUUUCUCCUCUUAUCCCAUGAGUUAGAUCUGCCUUUACUCCACCUAUAUUUGUUUGAUUUUGUUAUGUUUUUGUGUUUGAAUAAGGAUUUUGCAGGUUUCUCUUCGAUCUUCAUAUUUCAAUCUCCUCCAUCUAUCACGGAUCUUUGAUCAUCAAUGUUUUUGGUGUGCUCCAGCGACAUAUAUUCAGAUUUUAGUGAUGUGAUUUUCAGAUCUAAGAGAGUUUGACCUCUCUUGUAGAUAAAAAUUACAAUCUAUGUGUGUUUUUUUGUUACCCGACAUAAAUCGGUGGAGUCGGACUCCUUCGACGAUGUAUGGUGUAAAUGGUGUCGUCCAAUAAUGUCUAACAAUGUUCAUUUUAGUGUUUUUUUUUUAAUUUGGGUUUUUAGUUCUCUAACUUGUAUUUCAUCUUUAUGGUGGUUUCGAGUGUCUACGAGUCUCGUCUCAUUUAUAAAAUUUAUUGAGUAACUUAAUACAAUCAGAUAUAUGACAUUUUCAAAAUAAAAUAAAAUAAUGAAUAAUAUAAUUGAUUACAUUUAUUUCUCAUUUUAUUUAAAAUAAUACCAACACAUUAUAUGAUUUUCCUAAUUGGACGAUUAACCGAAUGAAGACCCAUUUAUUGGUUUUGGGUUUUCUGGGUUUGCAACAACAAUGGUCUUUUCUUGCUUCAACAGUCCUCGAUUGUCACUUACGAUUGACGACAAGUGGCAAGCUAUAGGUCAUUGCCACAAUGUUCAAAGCUUUUAUUUCAGAGGUAUAAGCACAAAAUUUUUUGGUCGAUGGGUUGGAAGAGUGGGAACUUAGGCAUGCAGUGAUUGGAGUUUUAUCGGAGGAUCUAAACUUCUCAUUAUGCCCAAAGUUACAAGCUUUGUUCACCAUGGAAUGGGAUCUGGAGUAAUUGCUUCAUAUAACUUUUCCGUCGCUUACAUUGCUUAUUAUCAUUGAUCUUAUGUCAAAAGUUUCCUGAGUUAUUUUUGUCUGGUCGCAAUAUAGAGUUAGAUGCUCAUGUCUGCAACUGUCACUUAAAAACGUCAUGUUACCUAUCGGUCUCAGUAAUCCACAUAAUCCAGAAAACUAAAAUUCUGUCAUCUGCUGCACUUAAUACUGAAAUUUUUUUACCGUCACAGAUGUUUGGAGGCUCAAUUUAGAAUAAAUUGAUCUAACCAGAAAAGUUGGUUGCCUUUCUAUUGUCUGCUCAUAAAGCUUUGAUAAAGCUAGAAUGGGGCUACCUUAUCUGAUGUUCUAACUUCUAACUGUGCCAUGACUUGCCACAAUCUACUGGUCCAAGUGAUAAGUUUUCACAAUGUUAUCUAGUGAUGCUCACACUUGUUUGGAUCAUUCCAUUCACAGACCAAAAAGUCUGGAAAGUACCAUACCCUAUACUGAGCUCGGAUUAUUAUAUGGAUAUCUUCUAUAACUCUCCUGGAUGCCCGAUGCUAUACUGCAUGUGAUGUUCCCAAUCAAAUUAUACUUGCUGCCAGAAGUAUGUAUAUCAACAAACUCCGCCCACUUUUUUGUCAAUAAAUGAAAAAACCUUCUUACUUAAUUACUUUCCUGUAUUUAUACCAUGCGAAGCUGCCUGGUAUUGCAAAGAUGUUAAUCAAGCAAGAUGGCAUUAGCUUCUGCAUGGAUUCACUUAUUGGCUUUAGAUCUCUUUGAGGCAAGGUCUUUCCCCUCCAUUGCCUUGUUUUACAUAUCUCUCUUUCUCCCUCAAUUCUUACUCUAGAUUGUUCUGUUAGUUUUGAUCCUUAUAUUGUCUGGUUCUGCUAUAUGCCUUCUUUUUCUGUCCUGUUGGAAUUCUUACUUAUGUUCCACUAAGGCACUCGCUGAAGGUGCUGGAAUUCUGGGGAAAUACUAAGCAUGGCAUGUAGUAACAUCUCUUUCAGAAACAUUUGACUAUGGAUCAUCAGUAGCACACUAAUUUGAAUGACAAUUUGCUCAAAUGGAUUAUCAUAUAUAAUUUGAGCUCAUUGUUUCAUCAAUGCAGUGAGCGAAGGUGUUAGACAUCGUCGCAUAAAAAUACGUGGAGUGUUAUUGAUCAUCUUUCAGUAGCAAAUGACAAUUACUUAUCACAUGCAUGUGUUUGAAAGAUUAUUUUGAGAUGCCUUAACACUGCACAAUCAAAACCUUUCCAGAUGCUCUUGUUGCCAUCUUCUUGCAGAUUCCAGGAUUCUAACUUGAAAAGCAGAAAGACUCGGAAGGGCUAUUAUCAAUAGUCCAAACUCCAAACUCCAAACUGAUACCUGUAGUGCCUGAAAUUCACCUUUGACUGUAACCAUUGAUUGCAUUUGCUAUCUCACACCAAUUGUUGCAAAAGGCCUAGUCCUGGACUUGAUUAUUUCUUUCAUUGUUUUAUUUUGACAACCGUUGGAGGAGAUAUUUAUUGAAAUUGAAGGCAAAUCAAGAGAUUAUUGUCUUUUUUUUUU